GCGGGUGUGGCGGAACGGCAGACGCGCAUGCCUUAGGCGCAUGUGUCCAAUGGACGUGGAGGUUCAAGUCCUCUCACCCGCA
rnacentral:tRNA from 1 species